CAGCAAGCCUCAUGGUUCAAGCUGCUCUCACAUGCCAUAAUCUCUCGAGAUCUCCACACCCAUCGUCAGCAUCUAAUUCCUUCUCUUCUUAUCUGACCUCAUCUCUGGAGCAGUGUGAUCUGUGUUACCGACUGACUGGAUUCUGGCAACUUAAACAUGUGUAUUUCAAAUGGAAUUUGGCUCUAACAUGAUCGGUCUACGUUAUGCUCAGUGUAAUUGUAGGGAAGAGAUUACCCUUUAGAUACAGUAACGUGUCCUGUGUCUUUUGAAAAUGGAUCCCUAGAAGAGUAUGGCGUCCUCCUACUUUCCAUGGUUUGCCAUUGUAAGAUACUUACGUAACGACAAAUAAUAGGAUUUCUCGAAUGAGUUUAUAGGAAGCGGCUUUAUACUUGGGAGUGGUGGAGACUUGUAUUCCUGUGAGAGUCCAUUGAUGCAGGAUACCAUCUGUUUCCUAUGUAACAUUAAUUCAUGUCAGCUUUUCUGGAGUCAAGCAAAAGCCAAUGGGAAGAGAAGAAAGGAAAAGAAAAGGCACAAGCAAUGAGACCACUCAACAUAAGUUCUGAAUUCAUUCAAAAGAUUCUAAAGAAAGUAUUUACUCUGCUGUUUCCAGUCUCAUUCAUCUUUAACUCCUCUGUAUCGAAAAACGUGGACUUAUUACUUUGAUUUUGUGAAGACUUAUUAAAAUAGGGCCAAUUAACUUAACUGCAGUAUACCUGAGCUGACAAAUAUAUUGGUAAGUAUGUUUUAUUAAUACAACAAAAUUUUACUUUUGAUUAGUAGAGAUUUGAGUCAUGGUCUUUAGCUCAUCAUACAAAAUAAACAAAUUGGAU
rnacentral:lncRNA from 1 species